AUACGGAGGGUGCAAGCGUUAAUCGGAAUUACUGGGCGUAAAGCGCGCGUAGGCGGCUUGAUAAGUCGGAUGUGAAAUCCCCGGGCUUAACCUGGGAAUUGCAUUCGAUACUGUCGGGCUAGAGUGUGGUAGAGGGAAGUGGAAUUUCCGGUGUAGCGGUGAAAUGCGUAGAUAUCGGAAAGAACAUCAGUGGCGAAGGCGGCUUCCUGGAUCAACACUGACGCUGAGGUGCGAAAGCGUGGGGAGCAAACAGGAUUAGAAACCCCAGUAGUCC
rnacentral:rRNA from 1 species